rnacentral:sRNA from 1 species
ACUAAAGGAAGGCAACCUAAGUGCGCUGCGUCCUGUAGCAAUGGUUGCAUGACCAACAUCCUGUUGG